CAUUUAAUUCUUUUGUUAGUGAAGCCAUUUAAAGCACACUUACUUGAAAAGUGUAAAACCGGGUCCCAUUAGGAGGAUGCACUUUAGGGGAGCCAGAAACGGUGUUCAUAUCCG